CUCGCUAUAGUUUAUUUGUAGAACGUCAAGUUGCAAACUUGAAAGUCGGCCAUCCGCAGCGAGU
rnacentral:tRNA from 1 species